rnacentral:lncRNA from 1 species
UCAGAGGUGAUUUCCCAGCUGAAUUGAACCCUGAAGAUGAGGAGGGUGCAAACAGUGACAACCCAAUACUACUUGGUUAAAAGUACUCGAUCUUCUUACUGUUGGAAGUCGUAGAUUAAUGACAAGAUUUGGAACCGUAUUUAGUCAGUUUUAUUUUCUGCAAGAUACAUCUGCAGUUCUAUUAACCUACCUCAGGUGGAUGCAGUCUCGCUUUGCUUUAAAAGAGUCAACUUUCUAGUAGUUGUUUUGUGUAUGUAUUGUCUAAAUUGUGACUCUAUGGUUAUCUUCUGGUUGUAUCCUAAAUAUGGAAUUUAGCAAUUAUGUUGACAAUCACAUGCCUGUUAACAUGUCCAUAUAAGAAAAUAAUCAUAAUUUUUGUGUUUGAAAUCCCUUCUUCUAAUGCUUCUUCAUCUUUUGUCUGUAGAACCUGUCGAUAGUACUAGUUUUCUCUAUUUUCCUCAUCAGUAUUGUAUUCAUCAUGCAGAAUCUUUCAAAGACUGUCAAGAAAAUAACUUCAUUCUCAUUACUUUUACAUGGUAGUUGAUUUUCUUCUUCCUCUCCUCAACUGUUGAGGAAAGGGAGAUUUCACAGAAUUUCUGGAUUCAGGUGAUCAACCCUGUUUCGUAGUUUAGUUGAAGGGAGAGUAAUACAUAGAAUCAAAAAAGAUUCAACGAUGAAAAUAUUCUCAUUAUAAACUCAUCAAGGCUAGUGUUUUUACAAGAAAUCUCUAGCCAACCUUCCUGCAAGAACUGGAAAGGUAUAAUUGCAUCAGUCCUUCCAAUCAAGCAAACGACCAACGAUUGCCAUCAAAGCAAGCAGUAUAGACUAUAGACUUGCAGGAUCAAGUGGGAACUUGACAGAUGACAGUAUUUUAAUAUCUCAUUGGAGGAUUUACCUUUUGUAGAAGAAGCCAGCAUAGCUUGUCAGCAAAACUUGUAACUUCCAACAGUCUUAUUCCAUCAAGUAUCAACUUUCAUCAUUUCUUUCUGUGUAUUCCUCUACAAUUUUCAAUUCACCUCUCUUCCCUAAUCAUGCAAAAGGUAGAGUAUGCUUGCCUGCUUGGGUUUAUUUUCUUGUCUCAUCACCCCCAUGAUAGAUGCAUCUGUCCUGCCAUUGUGUCAAAAGUUAUACUUCUUUCCACCCUUUGGAAGAAUGUUAUGCUGGAUUGCUGUUAAUUGUGGCAUGAGGUAGUGAUUCCAAUGGCAUCUAUCUUCGUAUAGCCGUCACAAGUCAGUCCAGAAAGAUAAUUCCACUCAGGUUAAUCUCAUCCAAUUUCGGUUCCUUUCCUGACUGUCAUAGGCAGCUUUAGUUCUUAGGAAAAGCAGAAAACUAGAUGCUACUCCCAAUAAAGAGAUGCAUCCCCACCACAUAAAUGUCUGAAUGUAACAGUUCCUACCCAUGCAAACUUUUGAUCCAUCCAAUACAAGCACUUGGUCUGGUUUCCCUAGGUUUGCUUCAUAGACUAUAGCUGCAAGAAGUCCAUAGAGUAGUGAUCCCAGAGGGAUGUUGGUAAUGAGAAUGUUGUGAUUGACUCCGGCACUGUUGGGGCCGAACAGCUCAGAGGUUAUUGACACUGCUGCUGAAAAUACAAAACCAGAGCUCAACCCAACUAAUGCUGUGGCAGCACUCAAUGCAGCUUUGCUUCCUGAUAAAACAAGCAGAAAGAAGGCCAGUGGUGUAGGAAUCAGUGCAAAUGCAAGCCACGCGGUCCUUGCAUAGUUCAUCUUGCUGCAUCCAAAAAACCAUUUCAGCUGUCAGUUUUUUUCCUAUGAUGGUGAUUAAGAACAGUAAAUCUUGAAAUACUUACUUGCGUAGAAAGUCUGGGGCGGCUGAAAGCAGGCGCCCGAAGAAGGAACAUGCAGAAUAGAGUGCAACAAAGAAGCUGAUCUCCGAUCUAUAUCCAAGUGACUCUGAAAUUUGGCCUAGAUUGUUGCUGUAAACAAGUACGAGUGUUCCCCCACAGAAAUAUGCUAGGUAAUAUAGCCAGAAAUCCAACCUACACAUGAGCAGACUUGCUGAAUGUUCCUCUCCAAGCAGCAACAAACGAUCUCUCAACAGAAAACUGCUAGUCCAACUUCCCUUCUCUUUUGAACCAUCAGAAUUUUCCAUCCAAACAUUCAUACUUGAAGCCUCUUUCCAAAUCAAUUCAUUGAGCAUCUCAAGAUCAUCAGUAUCAUUGUCUUCAAGUGAAAUAUAAUUAGGAUGGAACAGUUCAGACCAUUCUUCUGUGCAGAUAACCCCUGGUGCAAUCACCGGUAGGACCAGCAAGAACACUGCGCCAGCCAAGAGGAUACGAGCUGUCUGUGCACUAUAUGAGACCGAGUUUAGAAUUAAGAGAUAAAGGCCGGUAAACACUGCUAGUAUGGUAAGACAGCGGAAAUUGAGAUAUUCUCUGUGAACAGAAUCAGCACGAAGGGUUUGAGAUCGAGGUUGCCAGAGGAUUGGAAGAGCUGCAAUUGAUGUGACAAGGGGGACUAGGCCAUUAAGAAGAAGGUACAGAGUGUCAUCUUUGGAAUUAAUGGCAUUGGCAAUGAGGUUGUACAGGGCCGCACUUGCACCAUUGAAACUUAUGCUGAGGGACAAUGCAAUUGGCCUAUUUACCGAGAAAUGUUUGAUGCACAACACAUAGCAUACUGUAUUAAACCAGCAGAUACUGCAGCCAGCCAGCACACACAACAGAAAUACCUGCAAGAUUUAUCAGUGAAAGCUUGAGAACAGGAUAGGAUCCCAACGAAGUUUCAAGCGCAGUGAAGUAGAGAGCUGAAGAAAAUAAUCUUGUAAUAUCUUGAAUUUCUGCAGUUUUCAAUUUCAGUUGAUUACUAAGGCAACUUUCUCAAGAACCACUUGAAUCUUGAAGUUUUUUAAGAUUUGCAUAGAAGUUUUCAAGCACCAAAUUUUAACUGACUAGAAUGGAAAGUGAUUGAGGAUAAGAUGUUCUCCUUGGAGGCAGUCCCUGUAUAGUUGUUAACAGAAAAGACCUUUCAGCUAAUGAGAAACCUCAUAAAUGAUAAAUUAAGUUAAUUUGCCUUCUACAUAUCAUUUAACUUCACUUGAUGGACAUUCUUGGUUUAUUUUAGAGGAGAUUAUUUGAUUAGUACUUCAAAGGGGGUUGUCCAAAAGUCAUUUCUAGAUCUAAUAAAGUUUGCAAAAUUCUUGUGGUAGCUCCAACAACUGUCAACCACCAGUCCACCAAAUAAUCCAGAGAGAAGAAAUUCAUACAGGGAAAGAAGCAAGCAAUGGAUAUACAGGGAACAGCAAAAAAAUGGAUUAAGUUCCCAAAUUUCAUUUCCAAUCAAGAAAAGAGAGGUGAGAGAAGAAACUGA